UGCUUACAGGGGUCACAGACAUUCAGAUCAUGGCAGAACUGUCACAGAUGUUACUUUGUGAAAACACAAAGAAUAAUGUGUUUGGAGAGAUCAGUCUUCAAUUAGCUAUAUUUUCUAGGAGCCUACCUUUACUUAGCCUCACAACAUGGGCCUUAGCUUUAGCACUUAAUCUGCACAAAUACCUGGCUUAAGUGUUAUGACUGACUGGCUAUUCAACCAAACCAUACAAAUGACCAAUUCGGUAAGAAAGCAUGAACUUCAGUGUUGAACCAAAUCAACCAACCUCCUCAAUCCAAAUGAACAAUGCUAUUCUAGGAGUCUGUGCUAGAAUAAAAUCCUAAUGCAAAGGCUGUCUUAAAAUGCUGAACCCAGAAGAAUUUGGCAUAAAUAAGACAUGGAGUUAGCUGACAUGAGAUAUUACAUUUAUUCCACUGUUGACGAGGACAAAACUGGGCCGCUAUUGUCACAGGGUUUCAUCAUGUUGGUCAGGCUGGUCUGGAACACCUGACCUUGAGAUCCACCUGCCUUGGCUUCCCAAAGGGCUGGGAUUACAAGCGUGAGCCACCAGGCCUGG
rnacentral:lncRNA from 1 species